GACGAACGCUGGCGGCGUGCCUAACACAUGCAAGUCGAGCGAAGUUAUUCCUUCGGGGAUAACUUAGCGGCGGACGGGUGAGUAACACGUGGGUAACCUGCCUUAUAGAGGGGGAUAGCCUUCCGAAAGGAAGAUUAAUACCGCAUAACAUUGAGCUUUCGCAUGGAAGCUUAAUCAAAGGAGUAAUCCGCUAUAAGAUGGACCCGCGGCGCAUUAGCUAGUUGGUGAGGUAACGGCUCACCAAGGCGACGAUGCGUAGCCGACCUGAGAGGGGGAUCGGCCACAUUGGGACUGAGACACGGCCCAGACUCCUACGGGAGGCAGCAGUGGGGAAUAUUGCACAAUGGGGGAAACCCUGAUGCAGCAACGCCGCGUGAGUGAUGAAGGCCUUCGGGUUGUAAAGCUCUGUCUUUGGGGACGAUAAUGACGGUACCCAAGGAGGAAGCCACGGCUAACUACGUGCCAGCCGCCGCCGUAAGAC
rnacentral:rRNA from 1 species